AGUUCUGAUCUCCUCAUCUUUGUGAAAACUAAAGUGUAUGUUCAAUCCUUACCCUGGACCGAAAGCAGCUGUGAUACAUCACAGCACUCAUAUCUUGUAUCAACCUGUUCAGAUUGUUAUGAUACACUACUGGAGUAGGUGGGAAUUGAACCCAGACCUUCAAGAUUAAAGAUCUUUAUCACCAGUGGAGAUGACGGUAAAUCAAAUCAGCAAGCCUUUACAAUCUAUGAAGAAAAUGAUUGGAACAUCC